GCCUGGUCCUCGACCCCUGAGCCUUGGAAGGCUCGAUAUCCCCCUCUAUCGGAAACCUCACCUCCUUACUCGACUCCACCUCCCCGGCAACAGGCUCGGCGGUGUUGUCCCCCCGGACGUUGGCCCAUUUACGUCACCUCAAAGACCCUCAACCUGAGCUCCAACCCUUGGGUGGGCCCAUUCCCGCCAGUCUAGGCCAGUGCAGGAGCCUCUUAGGCCUCGACUUGACCGACAACCUGCUCUCGGGGAACAUUCCCGUCCAGCUCGGUUCUCUCCCCAGCUUGCCGGGCUGAAUCUAGGCAGCAAUAGGCUUGCCGGAGCCAUCCCACCUUCACUAGGCAACCUUUCGUCUCUCCAGUUACUCGAUCUGUCGCGCAAACGAGCUUACUGGAGAAGAUGCCGCUUUCCUUAGGGAACCUCUCCUCUCUGGCCUAUCUUUCUUCUUUCAGACAACCGGCCUUGUCGGGGCCAUACCACGUUCUUUCCGCAGACCUCUCCUCUCUGGCCUAUCUUGAUUUAUCAAGCAACGGCCUUACUGGAGGUAUUCCACCGUUGUUCGGUGGAAUCGAGGAUCUAUAUCUAGCGGGCAACAAUCUCACAGGGAACAUCCCUCCGUCAUUCACCAACCUCUCGCAUCUCGCCUUUCUUGAUUUGUCGGAAAACAAACUCCAAGGCCACCUUCCGGAGGACCUAGGCCACCUCACCAGCUCCAGUUUUUUCAAAUUUCCGACAACCAAAAUAAUUCCGGCACCAUUCCAUCGUCCCUCUACAAUAUCUUCAUCUUUGCAAACUUUGAGUGCUGUAGAAAACCAGCUCUCAGGAACACUUCCACUCGACAUCGGCAGCGCUCUUCCUAAACCUCCUGUGGCUCAACUUGGUCGGGAACCAGCUUGAAGGACCAAUCCCCAUUCUCGCUAGCUAACGCUUCAGGGCUUCAACAGAUCGAUCUUAGUGGCAACAAAUUCAGUGGAGGGAUACCUGCAAAUCUUGGAAGCCUGCAAGAUCUCUCUUGGCUUUCUCUACGGGGGAACAGGCUCAAGGCUAGAGAAGCCAAUGAUUGGGCCUUUAUUUCUUCCCUGACAAACUGUAGUCAACUGGGUUUCUUGAGCCUAGUCGACAAUGAUCUUAGCGGGACGCUGCCCGCCUCAAUAGCCAAUCUGUCGACCCAGCUCUACAGGUUAACCAUGGGGCAAAACCGGAUAUAUGGAACCGUUCCUCCCGGAAUUGGGAACUUGGUAAACCUGACUAUAUUGGGCCUUAAUCAGAACCUUCUCGGCGGCAGCAUUCCUGAUUCUGUUGGAAAACUUGGAAAACUAGAAGCUCUGCUCCUGUUUGGCAACAAAUUUUCAGGGGCCAUCCCGACCUCCAUUGGCAACCUCACCCGGUUUAAAUGAGCUUUAUUUAGAUGGGAAUGACUUGCAAGGAGGCGUACCGGUGAGUCUUGGCAACUGUCGGAGUCUGGGCACACUAGACCUUUCUCGUAACCACCUUGGUGGAUCCAUUCCCGGAGAAGUCCUUAGCCUUUCCUCCUUAUCGGAGUUUCUGGACUUAUCCAGUAACCUCUUGGAUGGGGCCGCUUCCACCUUCAGUAGGCAAGCUGCGCAAUCUUCAGUUUCUGAAUAUUUCCAACAAUAAAUUGUCGGGUGAAAUUCCAACAGCAAUUGGGGAUUGUCAGGUGCUGGAAUACCUCUAUUUAGAAGGGAACUUCUUUCAAGGAUCCAUUCCUUCAUCACUGGGCAAUUUAAAGGGCAUCAUAGUGUUGGAUCUUUCACUCAACAACUUGUCCGGGCCAUUCCCAGAUUUUCUAGCAGACCUACGUUUUUUGCAGCAUGUAAACCUAUCUUCAAUGAUCUUGAUGGUGAAGUGCCAAGGAAGGGAGUCUUCAAAAAUGCUAGUGCAGCUUCCAUCCUCGGGAAUGACAAAUUAUGUGGGGGUAUCUCGGAUUUGCAUUUGCCCGCGUGUCCAGGUCAAACAUCAAAGAAGAAGAGGUCCCUUGUGCUGCUCAAAGUAAUUGUCCCAGUUGCUUGCGGAAUCUUGUCAUUGAUCCUGUUAUCUGGUUUGCUCAUCACCUGUUAUUCGAAAGGAACUCCAAGAAAUCUUCGUUCGCGACUCCCUCGAUGGAUCUACUUAAAAAAGUUUCUUACACGGAGUUGAUGAAAGCAACUGAUGACUUUUCAUGCAAUAACCUGAUUGGCGAGGGAACUUUUGGUUCUGUAUUUAAAGGGAUGAUGAGUGACGGGUGGAACUGUUGCCGUUAAGGUGCUUAACCUCCAACUGCAAGGAGCUUUCAGGACUUUCAUGGCAGAGUGUGAGGCCCUGAGAAACAUCCGACAUCGCAACCUUGUAAAGAUCUUGACGGCAUGUGCGAGUGUUGAUUCCAGAGGCAAUGAUUUUAGAGCUCUAGUGUUUCAAUUCAUGCCUAACGGGAGUCUAGAGAAGUGGUUGCACCCACGAUCAGACGAGAAAUUUUAUUCAAAGAAACUAAGCCUCAUCCAGAGGCUGAACAUAGGAUUUGACGUGGCUGCUGCGCUGAAUUAUCUUCAUAACCACUGUGAGAUACCAAUUAUUCAUUGUGAUCUAAAGCCAAGCAACAUUCUCCUUGACGAUAGCAUGACUGCUCAUGUGGGAGAUUUGGGCUAGCAAGGUUCCUUCCUGAGAGCACCGACAAGUCAUCCAGAGAUCUAUCUAGCACUAGUACAUUUGCUAUAAAGGGCUCAAUUGGAUACAUUGCUCCAGAGCAUGGGAUGGGAGGCCAAGUCUCUGUUCAAAGCGAUGUUUACAGUUAUGGGAUCCUUAUGCUAGAGUUGUUUACUGGGAAGAGGCCCACGGAUGACAUGUUUAGAGAUGGUCUUACUCUUUCAAAAAUUCGUUGAGGACGAAUUCUCAAAAGGUUCCCAGGUUACCAUGAUUGUGGAUCCAUCCUUAUUUCACAGGAGAGUGAAGAAAUGCUGCAUGUAAAUCAAGGUGGAAGCCAAGCACGUGAGAGGAUUGAAAGAUGCUUGAUUGCUGUGCUUGCAAUUGGCCUUUCGUGCGCCAAGGAGUCGCCAGGAGAGCGUAUGGAGAUAAAAGAUGCUGCGACUCAUCUGCAAGCAAUCAAGAAUCUACUACCACUAAUGCCCAACAUCUGAAGUCUUGGGUGGCUGCAUGAUGAAUGCGAUAGCAAGCUGUGGUGCUUUAGAGUUUGAUGCUGUGUAAUUUUACAUAUUUGUGUGAUGCUCUUUGGGAAAGAAACAACCUACUUACAGCCUUUUUGUUCUCUCUUGAAUUUCCUUUCCUUUUAUAUACCUUUUAGCAAUUUUUUUUGCCAA